rnacentral:rRNA from 14 species
GAGGGGACCUCAACCCGAAAUGCGAGUAUCCAUUAGAGGGCAAGUCUGGUGCCAACAGCCGCGGUAAUUCCAGCUCC